ensembl:lincRNA
CAGGCGUUGCUAGGCGACAGGCGGUCCCUGCCAGACUCGGAGAACCCGAGAAGUGGGGGCCCGGCUCUCAGAGCCUGAGGGGCGUGAGGGGUGUACUGGUCCCGCCCCGCCCCGUGGUCAGCCUCAGCUGGCCAAAUGCAACCCGGCUGCAAGUGGCCUGGCUCCGCCCCCGCCUGCCAGGCUAGGAAGCCGGGCGGAGAGGGCUUGGAUCUGAGCUAGUUCUAGUGCACAGUGGCUUGAGUCGUGGGAGAGGCACAGAAGUCCUCCUCCUACCUCUGCCUUCUUCCUCCUGCAGGGGACUCGGGAGAGGCCCUGCCAUGAUUCUACUGGGGCAGAAGCCUUAGACUCCUGAACUUUUCAGUCGGAAGGAAUCUGGGAGUAAAUGUGGGGCCGGAAGGGAGGAAACGCUGCCAUCAGUCAAGCUCAGAUCGCUCCCACCAGGAUGAGGGCAGGGAAGCAGGAGGAUCUAAAGACCGAGUCCUCAGCGUGCAGAGUUUACAACUGUAAGAUCAUUAUGUACAGUGCAGCUUCUGCUGCCCACUCCCUACCAAGACAGGAGAGUGUGUCUCGAAAUCUGUGUCUGUACAUGCAAAGUGAAGAACUGUGGAGCACUGUGAACACACCUUGCUGCAGGUUUGGGAGUUACAUCUCUUCCCCCUAUAUCAUUUUGGAAGGCCCAGCAAGAUUACUGGAUGGAGAGACAUAUCUGUGAUCAUGUGGAACUAGUGGAAACUGAGGUGACAACUGAGGGGUCAUGGCUCUGAUGGAUACCCACCGGUCCCUCUGAAGAAACUAGCUUCUAAUAGCUGGUCCGGGUAAUCAGAACCACACCCACAGCUGUUCAAGUUAAAAUUUCAGAAAUCCAGGUUCAUCACUCUCGAAUCAAGAAGGCCCACCACAAUGACUCCUGGGAGGCCCACACCAACAAGACGACUUCCUUAAAGGUCACCCUGAGGAGACAACGAACUCAAAGCCCUGCUCCUGUCACUCUGGACACUGACAGGCCAAUGCAUGCCUGAAGCCUGAGGACCUCAAUCCAAGAACCACUGCCGCACUUUCCAGACUUUGUCUUUCCCUGACAUCUUUAUUCUGGCCUUCCUCAUAGUGUCUGCGUUUAUUCUUGGUAUAGGCUUAAUAACUGUUACUCCAGAGGACUGGAAUACUUUCCAAAGAUGUUUCCUCUUAGCUAUAUGUUGGGAUUUUAUGCUGGUGUUUGCUAUCCUCUCAUUUAGACUGACUCAGGAAAACCCUAACACCUGAUAAAGUGUCCUAGGUGACUGGAAGACAUAGAUAGGUGCUUUAUUAGGACUUCUCUUUGAUAGCCUCAUGUUAUUAACAAUCGGCCCAAGCUUUAUAAAUUGGUUCAUGAGCUUUUUCUCAACCUUAACUCCAUAGAGAUCCAAAAAUCAUACCAACUGAUGAUAACUUCAAGGUCUAAUGUUUAUACUCACACAUGUAAAAACAUAGACUAGCAAACAAGGUGAAGAUUUAACUAUAAUCAAAAAAGAACAGGGAAUGAACAGGGAAAUGGUUUCUGACCAGAAGAAGCCUGUGCUGCAGCUAGCCGGGUAGCAAGCAAAAGGCUCCUCCUAGGUCCCGACCCCUCCUGCACCUAAAACAUGCCCAGGUCUCACACGUGCCCAGACAUUGCCCUUUGUUCUCAGUAGAGUUUCUGUGAGCCCCUGCUUCCCUAUGUAAAUAAGAUGAAUCCCAGUGUGCCUUUUUAUCCAAUGUAUAAACUGCUGACUGUAUCUACCUCAACCAAUGCACUAAUGUUAGUGUCUUGCCGCUGUAUCCUCACCCCUCUUUUCCCAAAUCUAUAUAACCCUGUUCAUUGCCCAGAUGGGACUGAUCACUUUGUGGAGAAUUCCCCUGAUCCGUCUGCUAGUGAAAUAAACCUGCCUCCAACUUCCAGGGUGUGUGCUCGAUUCUUCUCGGCCUGACUCUGUUAUAUCACCGAGAGCUACAACAUUGGGAGUUAUAUUUGCUAUAAUAGUGGUGCACAC